ACUUAAAUAGCUUAUAUUUAGAGCAUAAUAUUGAAGAUAUUAGGGAGUAAUUAAUUACCUUAAGUA
rnacentral:tRNA from 1 species